GGAAAAGAAACCAACAGGGAUUACCUCAGUAACGGCGAGUGAAGCGGUAACAGCUCAAAUUUGAAAUCUGGCGCUUUCAGCGUCCGAGUUGUAAUUUGUAGAAGAUGCUUUGGGUGUGGCUCCGGUCUAAGUUCCUUGGAACAGGACGUCAUAGAGGGUGAGAAUCCCGUAUGUGACUGGCUGCCUUCGCCCGUGUAAAGCUCUUUCGACGAGUCGAGUUGUUUGGGAAUGCAGCUCUAAAUGGGAGGUAUAUUUCUUCUAAAGCUAAAUAUUGGCCAGAGACCGAUAGCGCACAAGUAGAGUGAUCGAAAGAUGAAAAGCACUUUGGAAAGAGAGUUAAACAGUACGUGAAAUUGUUGAAAGGGAAGCGCUUGCAACCAGACUUGCCUGCGGUCGAUCAUCCUGGGUUCUCCCUGGUGCACUCGAUCGUGGUCAGGCCAGCAUCGGUUUCGGUGGUGGGAUAAAGGCCUUGGGAAUGUAGCAGUCUUCGGGCUGUGUUAUAGCCCUCGGUGCAAUGCCGCCUACCGGGACCGAGGACCGCGCUUCGGCUAGGAUGCUGGCGUAAUGGUUGUAAGCGACCCGUC
rnacentral:rRNA from 1 species